rnacentral:RNase_P_RNA from 1 species
GGAGUCGGUCAGGCAGCCGCUGCCGGUCAUUGACCGGGGGAGGAAAGUCCGGGCUUCGCAGGGCAGGAUGCUGGCUAACGGCCAGGCGCUAUACGCCGCAAGGCCAAGGCGACGGAAAGUGCAGCAGAGAAAAGACCGCCGAUGGCUCCGUUCGCGGAAGAUCAGGCAAGGGUGAAACGGCGAGGUAAAAGCUCACCGCAGGACUGGCGACAGGACUGGCAUGGCAAACCCCAUCCGAAGCAAGACCAAAUAGGGAAGCAUACGGCGUUGCCCGCGCCGCUUCCGGGUAGGUCGCUGGAGCCGCG